rnacentral:rRNA from 1 species
UACGUAGGGUGCGAGCGUUUGUCCGGAAUUAUUGGGCGUAAAGAGCUUGUAGGCGGUCUGUCACGUCUGCUGUGAAAAUCCGGGGCUCAACCCCGGACUUGCAGUGGGUACGGGCAGACUAGAGUGUGGUAGGGGAGACUGGAAUUCCUGGUGUAGCGGUGAAAUGCGCAGAUAUCAGGAAGAACACCCGUGGCGAAGGCGGUUCUCUGGGACGGUACUGACGCUGAGACGCGAAAGCGUGGGGAGCGAACAGG